UCUGGAUGCAGGGACAUACGAUGUGGCAACGCUUGAAACUUUAGCCGUUUCACAUUCCCCCCGCAUCCUAGAGCAAGGAUCUCAGGAACUCUGUGCAGUGGCAUCCCAGUCUGUGCCACUGCAUCGUUCUUCCUGCUACAUUU